rnacentral:lncRNA from 1 species
GGCCGCGGAGGAGGUGCGGCCCCAAGGGGAGGAGGUGCCCGCUCACCGCAGACCGCCCGCGGCAGAGGCCGCCCCGGUCGCGCCGCGGCGGGAGCGGCCGGUGGAGGCUGCGCGGCCGAGGGGGAGGGCCGGGGGAGCGGACGUCGCCUCUGCUGGUCUCCCACCUCCCGCCGCCCCCCGCCCGCAGGCUCCCAAGCCUUAGUCGGCGCCGAGCAUCCCGCUGCCCCGGACCCUCCCGCGGGCGCGCACCAGGCUCAACUCAGAACUCAAGAGUCCGCCUGCUUGGAGCUGGACCCAGCGGCCCAGAGUCUAGCCAGCUUGGCUCCAAUAGGAGCUCAGUGGCCCUAAGGAGAUGGGCCUGGGGUGGGGGCUUAUGAGUUGGUGCUAGAGCCAGGGCCAUCUGGACUAUGCUCCAUCCCAAGGGCCAAGGGUCAGGGGCCGGGUCCACUCUUUCCCUAGGCUGAGCACCUCUAGGCCCUCUAGGCUGGGGAAGCAAACUGGAACCCAUGGCAAUAAUAGGAGGGUGUCCAGGCUGGGCCCCUCCCCUGGUCCUCCCAGUGUUUGCUGGAUAAUAAAUGGAACUAUGGCUCU